CCGAAGGUCCCCGGGCCGCGGUCCCUACACCUGCGUCUGGUGCUGCGUCUCCAGAGCAGAAAUCAUUCUCUGAGUUGCAUGAAUAAGGAUAGUGGGAGAUUCUCCAUGAAAGUUAAAAGACCAGUGUUGAAACUUCAACUCCCUGUUCACUCAACUAUGGCCACACGGUAAUUCCUGGCAGUAUUAGAAGUGGGGUCCGAAGACGCAGAGCAAGCUUGAAGUCCUCUUCCUUGCUGUUUUCUGAAAGCCGGUAUUUGAUGUAACUGUUUCCAGCAAAGCUGAGAGAAGUAUGCCCUGAAAAGACCAACACGAGAAGACAUAUAU